rnacentral:rRNA from 1 species
AGUGAACGCUGGCGGCAGGCCUAACACAUGCAAGUCGAGCGACAGCGGGUCGUAGCAAUACGAUGCCGGCGAGCGGCGGACGGGUGAGGAAUACAUCGGAAUCUACCCAGUCGUGGGGGAUAACGUAGGGAAACUUACGCUAAUACCGCAUACGACCUGAGGGUGAAAGCAGGGGACCGCAAGGCCUUGCGCGAUUGGAUGAGCCGAUGUCGGAUUAGCUAGUUGGUGAGGUAAAGGCUCACCAAGGCGACGAUCCGUAGCUGGUCUGAGAGGAUGAUCAGCCACACUGGAACUGAGACACGGUCCAGACUCCUACGGGAGGCAGCAGUGGGGAAUAUUGGACAAUGGGCGCAAGCCUGAUCCAGCCAUGCCGCGUGUGUGAAGAAGGCCUUCGGGUUGUAAAGCACUUUUGUCCGGGAAGAAAUCUUCCGACCUAAUACGUCGGGAGGAUGACGGUACCGGAAGAAUAAGCACCGGCUAACUUCGUGCCAGCCGCCGCUGUAAAAC